CGGUGUCAGUGCGGCCCCGGGGACCAGCGAGGCGCCCGGGCAGGCUCAGGCUCCUCUGGGAGAGGAGCAACGUUCCCCCGAGCUGCGUUGCGAGCCGGGAUCUGUUCUUCGCUGGUAACUUGGCUCGCUCGGAGCACCGGGGCGGUAGCGCCGAGCCGUUCAGGCAGCAGCGAUGUGGGACACGGGGCGACUUGUCGCGUCCGCGUCACCGAAAUAAAACAUCGUGGAAGCGAAUGCAACGAAAAUAGUCCUGCCUUGCGGACAGCUGGGCUCGAUAAUCGGAGACCGGGUUGUGGCCGGCUGCUGGGUUAUUCUUGGGUUGCUAAUGUGAAGGCCAGGACGUUAGGCAGACGCAAUAUCUCACCAGAAGUCACAACGCAGAUAUUUAACUACCAUCUGCUCUGGAUAAUCCAAAAAAUGGGACUGAAACGCAGCAGUGUUGACAUACGAAGGCAGUGCAAACUGCUGAAACAAAGAAUCAGGAGCUUCGAUUUUGCACAAAGCUUAAGUGAAAAAUCUACACCAAUGCAAAUGUUACUAUGCUUAAGGAUGUGACUUAUUGCAUUCAUAUAGCAUGGUCCUGUUUUUAAUGAGCAGGCAGAAGUCCUUGGCAGGUAAACAGCAGAGUCAUGGAAUAAGUAUUCGUUACUGUGCAAUUGAAUUCUGUACUUUUGUGUCUAACACAAACGAUAGUGCACACACGGUGAGUCUAAUAUUCCCAGGAAGACCGGGACUGACAUGUAACUGCCCCUGGGAAGAGAGGAGGAAAUGAAUCUGGUGGCGACGGAAGACAGGGCCUUGGUGCAGCAAGAAGAAAAAAAGAGGCAGAAAAGAGGUGAAUGACUGUACGGUGAGUCAGUGGUAUUUUGUUGAGUUUAUGCAUGUGUUUAUUUUCUGGGUGUGAUAUCUGAAUUUAACAUUAGAUAUUCCUAAAUAAUGGAUACAUAUACACACUGCUGUGCAUUCUCAACUACUGAGACACACAUGCACACAAACACCACAAAAAAAGACAUUAAAAGAAGACUAUUAAGGCUGCAAAGUCAAUUGUUCAGAAAUUAAGAAGUGUCAGAGUUAAGACCAUCUGAGCAAUCCUAUUUCUUGCUUUCUUUGUGCAUAUGCUUCAUAAUCCAGUUUUUAAUUACAUGGUAACAGUGUUUUGUUUUUCCCCCCAUAGGGCACCUGCCUCAAUCAGUGCACAGGAUGGACAGCACGCACUCUGUAAGAAAGCAGUAUUUCCCAGUUCAAUGCAUGUGUUAUUUACUGCACGCUGUCCAGCCCCAGCUCUGAAGCAGAAUUAUCCCUUAGGAGGUUUCCUGCAGAGCUCAUCACCAACACAUCUGAGUGCUUCACACCAUUAACUGUUUAGUUUUCCUCUCUGAGAUGCGUACARUUCCCACAGAGAGAAGGUGGUAAAACACAACAGCAAAAGCAAAAYGCCAUCUGUCUAUUAUGGAGUCUCCGAUUGGAAGUGCCAAGGAACUGAUUUUCCAGACAGCUU
rnacentral:lncRNA from 1 species